GUGCUGUUCCUUGACUGGGCUCGG
rnacentral:piRNA from 1 species